GAUGAAGAACGCAGCGAAAUGCGAUAAGUAGUGUGAAUUGCAGAAUUCAGUGAAUCAUCGAAUCUUUGAACGCACAUUGCGCCCCUUGGUAUUCCAUGGGGCAUGCCUGUUCGAGCGUCAUUUGUACCUUCAAGCUCUGCUUGGUGUUGGGUGUUUGUCUCGCCUCUGCGUGUAGACUCGCCUCAAAACAGUUGGCAGCCGGCGUAUUGAUUUCGGAGCGCAGUACAUCUCGCGCUUUGCACUCAUAACGACGACGUCCAAAAGUACAUUUUUACACUCUUGACCUCGGAUCAGGUAGGGAUACCCGCUGAACUUAAGCAUAUCAAUAAGCGGAGGA
rnacentral:misc_RNA from 1 species